rnacentral:misc_RNA from 1 species
GACUGCGGGAGGAUCAUUAAGCGUUGAGCCUGCGCCUCCGGGCGCCGGCGAAACUCCACCCGUGACUACUACACCGCAUGUUGCUUUGGCGGGCCCGCCGCUGGCCGCCGGGGAUCUCCCUGGCCCGCGCCCGCCAAAGAUACACUGAACCCUCUGUGAAAUUGGACGUCUGAGUUGAUGAUCAAUCAUUAAAACUUUCAACAAUGGAUCUCUUGGUUCCGGCAUCGAUGAAGAACGCAGCGAAAUGCGAUAAGUAAUGUGAAUUGCAGAAUUCCGUGAAUCAUCGAAUCUUUGAACGCACAUUGCGCCCUCUGGUAUUCCGGAGGGCAUGCCUGUCCGAGCGUCAUUGCAACCUUCAAGCACGGCUUGUGUGUUGGGUCUCGUCCCCCGAGGACGGGCCCGAAAGGCAGUGGCGGCGUCCGUUUCGGUGCCCGAGCGUAUGGGAACUCUUGUCCCGCUUGGUGGCCCGGCGGCGCUGGUCGAAACCAAUUUUUACCGGUUGACCUCGGAUCAGGUAGGGAUACCCGCUGAACUUAAGCAUAUCAAUAA